UUAAGCGACUAAGCGUACACGGUGGAUGCCCUGGCAGUCAGAGGCGAUGAAGGACGUGCUAAUCUGCGAUAAGCGUCGGUAAGGUGAUAUGAACCGUUAUAACCGGCGAUUUCCGAAUGGGGAAACCCAGUGUGUUUCGACACACUAUCAUUAACUGAAUCCAUAGGUUAAUGAGGCGAACCGGGGGAACUGAAACAUCUAAGUACCCCGAGGAAAAGAAAUCAACCGAGAUUCCCCCAGUAGCGGCGAGCGAACGGGGAGCAGCCCAGAGCCUGAAUCAGUGUGUGUGUUAGUGGAAGCGUCUGGAAAGGCGCGCGAUACAGGGUGACAGCCCCGUACACAAAAAUGCACAUGCUGUGAGCUCGAUGAGUAGGGCGGGACACGUGGUAUCCUGUCUGAAUAUGGGGGGACCAUCCUCCAAGGCUAAAUACUCCUGACUGACCGAUAGUGAACCAGUACCGUGAGGGAAAGGCGAAAAGAACCCCGGCGAGGGGAGUGAAAAAGAACCUGAAACCGUGUACGUACAAGCAGUGGGAGCACGCUUAGGCGUGUGACUGCGUACCUUUUGUAUAAUGGGUCAGCGACUUAUAUUCUGUAGCAAGGUUAACCGAAUAGGGGAGCCGAAGGGAAACCGAGUCUUAACUGGGCGUUAAGUUGCAGGGUAUAGACCCGAAACCCGGUGAUCUAGCCAUGGGCAGGUUGAAGGUUGGGUAACACUAACUGGAGGACCGAACCGACUAAUGUUGAAAAAUUAGCGGAUGACUUGUGGCUGGGGGUGAAAGGCCAAUCAAACCGGGAGAUAGCUGGUUCUCCCCGAAAGCUAUUUAGGUAGCGCCUCGUGAAUUCAUCUCCGGGGGUAGAGCACUGUUUCGGCAAGGGGGUCAUCCCGACUUACCAACCCGAUGCAAACUGCGAAUACCGGAGAAUGUUAUCACGGGAGACACACGGCGGGUGCUAACGUCCGUCGUGAAGAGGGAAACAACCCAGACCGCCAGCUAAGGUCCCAAAGUCAUGGUUAAGUGGGAAACGAUGUGGGAAGGCCCAGACAGCCAGGAUGUUGGCUUAGAAGCAGCCAUCAUUUAAAGAAAGCGUAAUAGCUCACUGGUCGAGUCGGCCUGCGCGGAAGAUGUAACGGGGCUAAACCAUGCACCGAAGCUGCGGCAGCGACGCUUAUGCGUUGUUGGGUAGGGGAGCGUUCUGUAAGCCUGUGAAGGUGUGCUGUGAGGCAUGCUGGAGGUAUCAGAAGUGCGAAUGCUGACAUAAGUAACGAUAAAGCGGGUGAAAAGCCCGCUCGCCGGAAGACCAAGGGUUCCUGUCCAACGUUAAUCGGGGCAGGGUGAGUCGACCCCUAAGGCGAGGCCGAAAGGCGUAGUCGAUGGGAAACAGGUUAAUAUUCCUGUACUUGGUGUUACUGCGAAGGGGGGACGGAGAAGGCUAUGUUGGCCGGGCGACGGUUGUCCCGGUUUAAGCGUGUAGGCUGGUUUUCCAGGCAAAUCCGGAAAAUCAAGGCUGAGGCGUGAUGACGAGGCACUACGGUGCUGAAGCAACAAAUGCCCUGCUUCCAGGAAAAGCCUCUAAGCAUCAGGUAACAUCAAAUCGUACCCCAAACCGACACAGGUGGUCAGGUAGAGAAUACCAAGGCGCUUGAGAGAACUCGGGUGAAGGAACUAGGCAAAAUGGUGCCGUAACUUCGGGAGAAGGCACGCUGAUAUGUAGGUGAAGUCCCUCGCGGAUGGAGCUGAAAUCAGUCGAAGAUACCAGCUGGCUGCAACUGUUUAUUAAAAACACAGCACUGUGCAAACACGAAAGUGGACGUAUACGGUGUGACGCCUGCCCGGUGCCGGAAGGUUAAUUGAUGGGGUUAGCCGCAAGGCGAAGCUCUUGAUCGAAGCCCCGGUAAACGGCGGCCGUAACUAUAACGGUCCUAAGGUAGCGAAAUUCCUUGUCGGGUAAGUUCCGACCUGCACGAAUGGCGUAAUGAUGGCCAGGCUGUCUCCACCCGAGACUCAGUGAAAUUGAACUCGCUGUGAAGAUGCAGUGUACCCGCGGCAAGACGGAAAGACCCCGUGAACCUUUACUAUAGCUUGACACUGAACAUUGAGCCUUGAUGUGUAGGAUAGGUGGGAGGCUUUGAAGUGUGGACGCCAGUCUGCAUGGAGCCGACCUUGAAAUACCACCCUUUAAUGUUUGAUGUUCUAACGUUGACCCGUAAUCCGGGUUGCGGACAGUGUCUGGUGGGUAGUUUGACUGGGGCGGUCUCCUCCUAAAGAGUAACGGAGGAGCACGAAGGUUGGCUAAUCCUGGUCGGACAUCAGGAGGUUAGUGCAAUGGCAUAAGCCAGCUUGACUGCGAGCGUGACGGCGCGAGCAGGUGCGAAAGCAGGUCAUAGUGAUCCGGUGGUUCUGAAUGGAAGGGCCAUCGCUCAACGGAUAAAAGGUACUCCGGGGAUAACAGGCUGAUACCGCCCAAGAGUUCAUAUCGACGGCGGUGUUUGGCACCUCGAUGUCGGCUCAUCACAUCCUGGGGCUGAAGUAGGUCCCAAGGGUAUGGCUGUUCGCCAUUUAAAGUGGUACGCGAGCUGGGUUUAGAACGUCGUGAGACAGUUCGGUCCCUAUCUGCCGUGGGCGCUGGAGAACUGAGGGGGGCUGCUCCUAGUACGAGAGGACCGGAGUGGACGCAUCACUGGUGUUCGGGUUGUCAUGCCAAUGGCACUGCCCGGUAGCUAAAUGCGGAAGAGAUAAGUGCUGAAAGCAUCUAAGCACGAAACUUGCCCCGAGAUGAGUUCUCCCUGACUCCUUGAGAGUCCUGAAGGAACGUUGAAGACGACGACGUUGAUAGGCCGGGUGUGUAAGCGCAGCGAUGCGUUGAGCUAACCGGUACUAAUGAACCGUGAGGCUUAACCU
rnacentral:rRNA from 1 species